rnacentral:rRNA from 1 species
UAGAGUUUGAUCCUGGCUCAGAUUGAACGCUGGCGGCAGGCCUAACACAUGCAAGUCGAACGGUAGCACAGAGAGCUUGCUCUCGGGUGACGAGUGGCGGACGGGUGAGUAAUGUCUGGGAAACUGCCUGAUGGAGGGGGAUAACUACUGGAAACGGUAGCUAAUACCGCAUAACGUCGCAAGACCAAAGAGGGGGACCUUCGGGCCUCUUGCCAUCAGAUGUGCCCAGAUGGGAUUAGCUAGUAGGUGGGGUAACGGCUCACCUAGGCGACGAUCCCUAGCUGGUCUGAGAGGAUGACCAGCCACACUGGAACUGAGACACGGUCCAGACUCCUACGGGAGGCAGCAGUGGGGAAUAUUGCACAAUGGGCGCAAGCCUGAUGCAGCCAUGCCGCGUGUAUGGAGAAGGCCUUCGGGUUGUAAAGUACUUUCAGCGGGGAGGAAGGUGUUGUGGUUAAUAACCACAGCAAUUGACGUUACCCGCAGAAGAAGCACCGGCUAACUCCGUGCCAGCAGCCGCGGUAAUACGGAGGGUGCAAGCGUUAAUCGGAAUUACUGGGCGUAAAGCGCACGCAGGCGGUCUGUCAAGUCGGAUGUGAAAUCCCCGGGCUCAACCUGGGAACUGCAUUCGAAACUGGCAGGCUAGAGUCUUGUAGAGGGGGGUAGAAUUCCAGGUGUAGCGGUGAAAUGCGUAGAGAUCUGGAGGAAUACCGGUGGCGAAGGCGGCCCCCUGGACAAAGACUGACGCUCAGGUGCGAAAGCGUGGGGAGCAAACAGGAUUAGAUACCCUGGUAGUCCACGCCGUAAACGAUGUCGACUUGGAGGUUGUGCCCUUGAGGCGUGGCUUCCGGAGCUAACGCGUUAAGUCGACCGCCUGGGGAGUACGGCCGCAAGGUUAAAACUCAAAUGAAUUGACGGGGGCCCGCACAAGCGGUGGAGCAUGUGGUUUAAUUCGAUGCAACGCGAAGAACCUUACCUACUCUUGACAUCCAGAGAACUUUCCAGAGAUGGAUUGGUGCCUUCGGGAACUCUGAGACAGGUGCUGCAUGGCUGUCGUCAGCUCGUGUUGUGAAAUGUUGGGUUAAGUCCCGCAACGAGCGCAACCCUUAUCCUUUGUUGCCAGCGGUCCGGCCGGGAACUCAAAGGAGACUGCCAGUGAUAAACUGGAGGAGGGUGGGGAUGACGUCAAGUCAUCAUGGCCCUUACGAGUAGGGCUACACACGUGCUACAAUGGCGCAUACAAAGAGAAGCGAACUCGCGAGAGCAAGCGGACCUCAUAAAGUGCGUCGUAGUCCGGAUUGGAGUCUGCAACUCGACUCCAUGAAGUCGGAAUCGCUAGUAAUCGUAGAUCAGAAUGCUACGGUGAAUACGUUCCCGGGCCUUGUACACACCGCCCGUCACACCAUGGGAGUGGGUUGCAAAAGAAGUAGGUAGCUUAACCUUCGGGAGGGCGCUUACCACUUUGUGAUUCAUGACUGGGGUGAAGUCGUAACAAGGUAGCCUCAGUCAGUCA